AUACGGAGGAUCCGAGCGUUAUCUGGAUUUAUUGGGUUUAAAGGGUGCGCAGGCGGGAGAUUAAGUCGGCGGUGAAAUUUUUCAGCUCAACUGUAAAAGUGCCUUCGAAACUGGUUUCCUUGAGUGUAGAUGAAGUAGGCGGAAUUUGUGGUGUAGCGGUGAAAUGCAGAGAUAUCACGAGGAAAUCCGAUUGCGCAGGCAGCUUACUAAUCUACGACUGACGCUCAGGCACGAAGGCGUGGGGAUCAAACAGGAUUAGAUACCCUGGUAGUCCACGUAGUAAACGAUGAUUACUAGCUGUUGGCGAUACAAUGUAAGCGGCUGAGCGAAAGCGUUAAGUAAUCCACCUGGGGAGUACGUUCGCAAGAAUGAAACUCAAAUGAAUUGACGGGG
rnacentral:rRNA from 1 species